GACGUCGAUGGGAAGCAUUACUGGUCGUGAUUGGGCGUAAAGUACAGUUAGAUGGAUAAGUGAGUUUUACAUGAAAAAUGUGGUUUAUCUUUUUUUGUAGAAUACCCUUAUACUAGAAGUUUCAAAAAGUUAAUAUUGCGCACGAUUUAGCGAUGAAAUGCUGUCAGAUCGUGAGUACUACCAAAGACCACGGUAAUUUUUUUUGAAAUUUGACAUCGCACUGUUAAAGUAUAGAUCUCUAAAAGGAUUAGGGACCCUUGUAGUCUAUACCCUGAAUUUAUGAACAUUGAUUAUUAUAUAUUAAUAUAGUAAUUAAGCUAACGCGAAAAUGUUUCGCCUGAGGAAUAUCGUUGCAAAACGCAAAGUUAAUAAGAUUGGCGGGAAUCUGUACAAACAAUGGGGCACGUGGCUCAAUUCGACAUUGCACGUCAAACCUUACCAACGAGGAGAUUUCCCACAAGAAAAAAGAAAUUAUCUUAAUUUUCGUGUCCGAAAUAAACAUGUACUGCAUGGCUGUCGUAAAUUCGUGAUGUGAAUUUUCGUGUCAAGUCACUCAACGAAUGCAAUCUUUACUAUAUUGUUUUAUAAUUUUAUUUGUUUUAUAUACAUUAAAUUUAUUAAUUUAUUUAAAUAUUUAUUGAUUGAAUAAAAAAAUUAUAUAAAUAUAGUUAGUUACUAUUAAGGCAUAUAUGGUAUUUUAUUAUAAGAUAUAUUAACAGCGUGGGUUUAAUAUAUUAGAAUGAAGUUUACUAUAGUAUUUAGUAGUAGCGCUGAAGCUGACGUCAAGUCAACAUGGUCUUUAUUUGUUGGGCCGCACAUGUGCCACAUGGGCAAAAGCAAAAAGUUGCAAUAAUGUAAGUUAGAGCAAAUCUUAAUAAUUGUCUACGUUCGAACUGUACAUUGAAAGUCAUGUACAUGAAGAGGGAAUUGUUAGUAAUCGUGGAUUAGAGGGCCACGGUGAAUGAUGAGUCGGAUUCUGCACACACCGCCCAUCACGCUCGGAAAAGCCUGUUUGUAAGAAAACGGUUACUGAUUAUAACUUAUUAUUAAAUAAGGUAUAGUUAUAGCUUUUUAUUAGGAGUGGGCUGAUCGGAGCUAAGUUG
rnacentral:rRNA from 1 species